rnacentral:rRNA from 1 species
CGGACGGGUGAGUAACGCGUGAGAAUCUGCCCUCAGGAGGGGGAUAACGGCUGGAAACGGCCGCUAAUACCCCAUAUGCCGCGAGGUGAAAUGAGAAAUCGCCUGAGGAUGAGCUCGCGUCUGAUUAGCUAGUUGGUGGGGUAAGAGCCUACCAAGGCAUCGAUCAGUAGCUGGUCUGAGAGGAUGAUCAGCCACACUGGGACUGAGACACGGCCCAGACUCCUACGGGAGGCAGCAGUGGGGAAUUUUCCGCAAUGGGCGCAAGCCUGACGGAGCAACGCCGCGUGAGGGAUGAAGGCCUCUGGGCUGUAAACCUCUUUUCUCAAGGAAGAAGAACUGACGGUACUUGAGGAAUAAGCCACGGCUAAUUCCGUGCCAGCAGCCGCGGUAAUACGGGAGUGGCAAGCGUUAUCCGGAAUUAUUGGGCGUAAAGCGUCCGCAGGCGGUCUUGAAAGUCUGUUGUUAAAGCGUGGAGCUCAACUCCAUUUCAGCAAUGGAAACUAGAAGACUAGAGUGUGGUAGGGGCAGAGGGAAUUCCCGGUGUAGCGGUGAAAUGCGUAGAUAUCGGGAAGAACACCAGUGGCGAAGGCGCUCUGCUGGGCCAUAACUGACGCCCAUGGACGAAAGCCAGGGGAGCGAAAGGGAUUAGAUACCCCUGUAGUCCUGGCCGUAAACGAUGAACACUAGGUGUCGGGGGAAUCGACCCCCUCGGUGUCGUAGCCAACGCGUUAAGUGUUCCGCCUGGGGAGUACGCACGCAAGUGUGAAACUCAAAGGAAUUGACGGGGGCCCGCACAAGCGGUGGAGUAUGUGGUUUAAUUCGAUGCAACGCGAAGAACCUUACCAGGGUUUGACAUCCUGCGAAUCUUUUGGAAACAGAAGAGUGCCUUCGGGAGCGCAGAGACAGGUGGUGCAUGGCUGUCGUCAGCUCGUGUCGUGAGAUGUUGGGUUAAGUCCCGCAACGAGCGCAACCCACGUCUUUAGUUGCCAGCAUUGAGUUGGGCACUCUAGAGAGACCGCCGGUGAUAAACCGGAGGAAGGUGUGGAUUGACGUCAAGUCAUCAUGCCCCUUACAUCCUGGGCUACACACGUACUACAAUGCUACGGACAGAGGGCAGCAAACUCGCGAGAGCUAGCAAAUCCCAUAAACCGUGGCUCAGUUCAGAUCGUAGGCUGCAACUCGCCUACGUGAAGGAGGAAUCGCUAGUAAUCGCAGGUCAGCAUACUGCGGUGAAUACGUUCCCGGGCCUUGUACACACCGCCCGUCACACCAUGGAAGUUGGCCAUGCCCGAAGUCGUUACUCCAACCCUUGUGGAGGAGGACGCCGAAGGUGGGGCUGAUGACUGGGGUGAAGUCGUAACAAGGUAACCGUA